ensembl:lncRNA
AUGUCCACGGUGGCUGUUGUGCGGCUCCCGGUCAUUCAGCACCCUUCAUCAAGACUUGGAGAUCCAGAGCUCAUCUCUCUCCGGGGUUAUUCCACGGACUGCGGCAGAGAUCGGAGAUGCUGGAUGCCUCAGAGAGGAACCAGACCUCAGUCUCCAGGGACAGAAAGCCUGGACUCUGCUUUUCGCAGUGAGAGCAGAAGAAGUGAUAUCAGUUCUCUGAUGGAAAAAGGAAAAAGAGGAGGAUUAGAUAUUCCAGAGCAAAUCUCUGAGGCAGAUGAAAUCUUCCAAGACCAGGAUAAAACCAGAAUACCUGCCUUCCGUCAUAGGGCAGCAUCAGAAAAUCGCUCCAUAAGCAGAGUGUCUCAUACAACUUGUUCCAGCACUGGGCCAUGGAUGACCGAUCAAACAGAUCAGCUGAAAGUUGAGCUAAAAGAGCGCAUUCAAAAUACAGGAGCUCUGAUCCUCAAAAUCCUGUUCAAGAAUAACCACCCUGAUGGCAAACCUCUGGUCAACAGAUCUGCUUUACUUGAAAUCCUUACAAAUUUCCUAAGGAGGCCUGUCACAGCUAAACAGCUGAAAAACCUUCUAUCUUGUCUCCACCUAUCUGACCGAGUGCUUAUCAGUUUUGAGGAGUUUUAUGGUGCCCUGAAAGACCCAGACUCCAAUAAAAGUAACCCCGCAGGUCUUCUUACAAUUCCUCAGACAAUGGCCCUGCUGAGAGGACCUGCACGCAGCAGGUGAGAUCUCUGCAGUCCUGACACACUACUAUAGUUUUGCUGAAAUGAAUGGUCAGUUAACUUAAGAGGUAUCCCAUAUUGAAUAUAAUAUUCUUUGUUGUCAUGUGGGAAAGUGAAUAAUAAAAUAUCAAAAUGUUUUAUUAUCA